rnacentral:sRNA from 1 species
AUUUACGACAUACCAUAGUCGGCGCGAACAACAAUGGAGAGGGAAAUCCGAAAGGAGAAAAGGUCGCUUCGUUUCAAAGCGAUGUAAACAGCAGUACGAGUCCUCCAAAAAUGACAACUGAGAAACGAGGGAAGAUGGGGAAAAAAUUCAAACAUAAUAAUCGCCAAAAAAAUUAUUUUAGAACUGCAACUAACGAGCGAUAUGAGUCAGAGGAAAUUCCAGUAGAGGAAAUCGAGAUAGUUUACAGCAAAAAUGUGGUAAUUGCAAGUUAUCCAGAUAGCUGCAGCAUGAUGAGAAGAUCACUGGCACUGUUUUUGUCCAAACAAAAUUUCCAAUUUCUUUCUCUGCAUCUGAAAAGACAGUCCUAACUGUGAAAGGUGGUCAAUGUUCCACAGAGGCAAACCUGUUCAAUCCAGCAAAUUUCCUCUGCUUUAGAGGACUUCGUUGACUUCAUUGACAAGGACAUUGAGCCAUCCUUACUGGGCAUAGCAUCAAGUCUUACUGGGCAUAGCAUCAAGUCUUCCUGGGCAUAGCAUCAAGUCUUACUGGGCAUAGCAUCAAGUCUUAAGACGGCCAUGCUUUAGUCAACACCAUGUUAGCAGUUGGAAAGAUGGAUGCUUUUAAAAAACAUGUUGCAGGAUUUGUUGAUACAAAGCUUCUGUUGAGGUCACAAUUCCCAAGGUUGCCAUCUUAUACCCGACAUACUUUAGUUUCAUCUUCUUACAUUGUAACUAUGCUGCUCAUGAUGCUUUACUGUCAUAUCCCUUCAAAGACUUGUAUGAUCAGUCAAUUUUGAUUCACAGAACAGUUAGAAGGCAUCAUUCUCUCUGCUAAGUGCAACUUUUUCACAUGAACAUUUGUCAAUGAAGAGAAUCACUUAGUGUAUGGAUAGAAAAAUAGCUGUCAGUGACUUGAACUAUGCAGUUCUAAUAGCAUUUAGUAGAGGAAGAGGGCACACAACAAGUUUUGUCAAAAGAGUGUGGAAGUGGACCAAGAGUAACAAAGUCAUCAAAGAUCAGUACAUUCGCUUGCUGAACAUUUUGGAUAUACUUUUACAAGUGAUAGUUAAAGCUCAUUAUAUCAGAAGUGUAUAUACUGCCUUUGAUUUUCAUUAUACCUGAACUAGUUACUAGUUCCAGUACAUGUAUGUACUGUUUGAUGUAACACAACACAACACACCCCCCCCCCCCCCUCCAAAAAAAAAUAAUCCUGAUAAAGAUAAAUUGAUAAAUUCUACUGAUAGUAUAUUUUGAAUCACUCAUCGCUAUAAAGUGUUCAAUUUAUGUCUAUAUUCUAGCUACCUGAAUGGAAUGGUUUUGUCAUUUAGGGAAUUUUCAUAAAACAAAUGUUUUUCAACUGAUCAGAUGAAGUAACGUGCAACUUCUUAUAUCAAUAGACAAGACAGUAUUGUAAUGCAACCAUAUAUUGAUGUGUGUUCAUUUACAAUAUAAUCUAACAGUUUAUUAGAAUAUAUCAUGCAUGUAAUUGUAUGUAUAUGAACUAUCAAUAAUGCUCUGACCUAGAAUGCAUAUAUACUGGUUAAAACUUAUUGAUCAGACAUCAAUCCAUUUUGAAGUUGCAGUUUUUUCAUUCCAUGUCAUUGCUUGAAUUCAUUGAGAAAACACUGUCAUUCAAAAUCUAUGCAUCUAGCUGCUAUUUUUUUCAAAGAAAAAUACCACUGAAUUUUUAAUUUCAUAAUUAUUACAUUAUUUUAAAAACUUUGAUGAAUUAGAACAUAUAAUUAGCAAGAAAUACCUUAUCUCAUUCCAUGCUAUUCACACCAAGGUCAAGGUCACACCCAGAAGAUGGUUUAUAAGCACUAUUUUAAUGAUUAUUUUAAAGUUUAUUUUGUUGUAUGUCUACUAUAUAUUCUUGAAAUACUUAACUUUACAUAAUUACAUUUGUUAUUGAAGAUAAAUUCACCAGUUUUAAAAUUUUGGCGAAUAAAAGUCUAUGUUUUGCUGC